UACCCUACUACAUGGAUACCUGUGGUAAUUCUAGAGCUAAUACAUGCGCAAAACCCCGACUUCGGAAGGGGUGUAUUUAUUAGAUAAAAAACCAAUGCCCCUCGGGGCUCCUUGGUGAUUCAUAAUAACUUCACGAAUCGCAUGGCCUUGCGCCGGCGAUGGUUCAUUCAAAUUUCUGCCCUAUCAACUUUCGAUGGUAGGAUAGUGGCCUACCAUGGUGGCAACGGGUAACGGGGAAUUAGGGUUCGAUUCCGGAGAGGGAGCCUGAGAAACGGCUACCACAUCCAAGGAAGGCAGCAGGCGCGCAAAUUACCCAAUCCCGAUACGGGGAGGUAGUGACAAUAAAUACUGAUACAGGGCUCUUUUGGGUCUUGUAAUUGGAAUGAGAACAAUCUAAAUCCCUUAACGAGGAACAAUUGGAGGGCAAGUCUGGUGAACCUCAGUGUUCUAACAUGCUGACGCCAGAGAUAGUGGGCCUCGUCCCCCCCGUGGGGGGGCGGGGUAUGCCCGCUAGUCGAGCAUUCGCAAUAGCGAUGGGUGAAUGCCGGCGAGGUGACCUGGUACGGGGAAGCCUACGGCCCAAUCCGAUUGGGCUAUGGUAAUCCCGUGGCGAGCCCCCUUCCGGGGCCGUCGUAACGCGCGGAAAGGCACCGGUUGCUCGCCUCCGGGCGGGUGACUCGAGGGACGUGCUGUCCCAUCCAAAAGGAUGCCCGUAACUGGAACACCCAUCGUGUAAAGGUUACGGGGGGUGGUUUACGCCGCCUGGGUGAUAUAAACGGCCAGCAGCCGCGGUAAUUCCAGCUCCAAUAGCGUAUAUUAAAGUUGUUGCAGUUAAAAAGCUCGUAGUUGAACCUUGGGCCCGUCCUGCCGGUCCGCCUCACCGCGAGUACUGGUCCGGAUGGGCCUUUCUUUCUGGGGAAUCCCAUGGCCUUCACUGGCUGUGGCGGGGAACCAGGACUUUUACUGUGAAAAAAUUAGAGUGUUCAAAGCAGGCCUUUGCUCGGAUACAUUAGCAUGGAAUAAUAGAAUAGGACGUGCGGUUCUAUUUUGUUGGUUUCUAGGACCGCCGUAAUGAUUAAUAGGGAUAGUCGGGGGCGUCAGUAUUCAGCUGUCAGAGGUGAAAUUCUUGGAUUUGCUGAAGACUAACUACUGCGAAAGCAUUCGCCAAGGAUGUUUUCAUUAAUCAGGGAACGAAAGUUAGGGGAUCGAAGACGAUCAGAUACCGUCGUAGUCUUAACCAUAAACUAUGCCGACUAGGGAUCGGGCGGGGUUU
rnacentral:rRNA from 1 species